rnacentral:tRNA from 1 species
GGAGAUCUAGCUCAGCGGUAGAGCACUUGCCUAGCAAGCGCAAGGCCCUGGGUUCGGUCCCCAGCUCCA